AUUGGAAGCACAACUCCUCUGGUUCUCAAAGGGUAUGGCUCAUCUGAGGCGUGACUGCCCGGUCGGAUUCAGGCUUGGAUUAACCCAUGUGGUCAGGAUGACCACAUAAUAUGCUGCUCCUCCUCCACUUCAUACCGAGAGAAUACCUGUGAUUCGGACACACCGAAUAUUCUCCAUGACAGAAAAUAUUCCAGCCCGAAAGCAAAUUAAAUGUCCCUCAUUUAAAUUUGUAAAUUUUCCCAGUUUGUUACAUAUCAAGUGAUUUCUUAUGUCCUUAAUGCAUUCCUUAAUCAAAAUCACAGUAUUUUCAGCGGGAUAGAAGAUUGAUGUAUCACAUUUAACAUUACUGAAGCAUGAGAAACUGCAUCUCAUCUCAACGUCUGCUGCCAU
rnacentral:lncRNA from 1 species